GGAAUCUGGUAAAAAAAAAGACAGAAAUAUUGACAGGCAAAGACCGCUCCUUCCAAGCUCGUAUGUCCUCUGGUGAUAGCCAUUGCCCCAUUAUCCUCGGAGAAUUGCCCAAUCUCUCUCCUCCAUGCAACUGGCGAGCAAACCAACAAAACCACUACACUGACCAAAACCACCGUUUUCUCUUUUGAAAUCUCUUUCAGGGAAUAAAAAAGAAAAAAGAAAUCUCUUUCUUUCUCCUCUAAAACCUCACCUGCAAUGGCUUUCUUCUCAUUUGGGCUAUACCAUCUCCAACCAACCAAUUUAAGAAACAAUCCGUCCGCUUUCCUUCUUCCCUUAAUCUGUCUUCACUUCAUUCUCAGUUUUGUUUGGCUUUAUCUCCACUUAGAUUAGGUUCAAGAUUGCUUGGCAGUGGUCUUCUUGCAAGAGCUGAAGAUAAGGCUAGAGGGUAUUCUUCUUCUUCAACUCAGGGACAAGCUCAACAGCCCAGUAGUGCAAAACAGCUUCAGAGUUACCGUGUUUGCAUUGCAGAAUGCAUAUUGGUUAUUAUCUGAAGUUCUAGCUGCUUGUAUAGGACUAAUUUAUUGAUAUGUGAGACCCAUUCAAUCAUUCAUUACACAUUUAUUCCUCCUUUACCAGUGACAUUUUUUUUCUCAAAGAAUUACCGGUGACAUUUAGUUUAGAUUAAAGUGUAUGUUUCCCAUUCAUCUUCUGGCCACUUGCAUGAGUGCUUGAUGUAUCAUUUUUACUUGUUCAUAGAAGCUAUAAAAUAGACAUAAUUGAACUGAGAUGUCUCUCUGUGAUUUCCUUAAAUUUGUUAUAGCCCUAUCUCAUCCUACUGCUGGCUAAAUUUCAAUAAAAGGCUUCUGUUAUGUGUAACUUAUGUUGCCCAUGUGGGGUUGUCCUUUUACAGCUGCAUACUGGAUUGGUAACUAAACUUCGUUACUGAUUGAUCUAUAAAAUAGAACAACUUCAUAAAUGAUAUCCUUCAUUUGUGUGGGUGGAUGUUUGGGUAUAUUUACCUUCUUUUCUUUGAAGAAAUUUUGGAUCAUCAUGUAGCUGGAACUCCCUUGGUAAAAUAAUUUCCACAAUUAGGCUGUAGUGGAUUCUGAAUUGGGAUGCCAUAAACUGAUAGACUGGUGCAUGGAAGCAAAAUUUUUUGGCAGCAUGGUUUAUAAUGGCUUCCUGAUAACUGAACCGUGAACUAUAGAAUUCCACAUUGCUGUGUUUCAAAUAUCAAUUAUCAAUGCUUGUAAGUAUGCAAACAAAUAAAUUUGACCCUGCCAGUAUAAGUCCAAAGUCUCCCACCAUAACUAUCAUGCAAAAAUGGGUCCCUUUUUAUGUUUCAUGAAAACAACCAUAAGUUCCAGGUAUUGUCUAUUACACUGUAAUAUUUAGCUAUCACUUUCUUGAGCAGGCACCUUCGACUGAUAUAGCUGUUUCGGAGUUGACACAUGCUUCUGCAGAAGUAAGUGAGGUCGUGUUUUUCCUGCUUGGUGCCAUGACCAUCGUGGAGAUUGUUGAUGCUCAUCAAGGUUUUAGGCUGGUCACUGACAAUAUAACCACUCGAAAGCCCAAGACUCUGCUUUGAGUGGAAUGUAUUUUUCCUCGCGCAGGUUGUAGAUCCAAGGAAUAGUAGAUCAAGAUCUGCAUCAACCUAGUCAGAGUUACAUCAUUACUAUCUUGGGCUUUGCAAUUAGACCGAUUCACUGAAGCUAUCGUUCUAUACUAUUUGGUGUGAGUGGAUAUGUGCCUUUUGUUUUAAUUAAUCUUGAGGGAGGAUAUGGAAUUUCCGUAUUUCAACAUUGCUUUUGAUUGAAGUGUACUCGACCACAUCGUGCUUGCUUGCUCAAGAAAAUGAAAAUCUGCCUGAAGAGUUUGUAGUGGCUGUUCUUGUUGGCUUUUGGUUCAUUUUGCUAAUUGAAUUUCUCUUUCAAUUCUAAUGAAAUCUAUUUACACUGCAUACUUGCAUGUCUGAAGGAAGUUAAGCUUACACUAAUUGGUUAAAUAUAAACCACGAAAUUUGUUUGGCUGUAUUACCAUUUGCAGAGAACUAAAACCCUUAGUCAGAGAUAUUCCAGACUCACCAGAUAGGAACCCAAUGGCUCUAUGGAGAGCUCGUGCAGCUGUAUCACCUCACUUGAACAGGCUUUUGCAACCUGCGUCUUUCCCCUAUGUCAACAAUGCUUUCCGUGGUUUCUCUGCUGCUGAUACUUCAUUGCGGGACAAGAUGAUGAAACAAAUGGCUGCAGGAAGUUGUGCCAAGAUCUUGAAAGAGCCAACAUCAAAGUACUGUUUGGUGAAACUUCCUUUAGGAGUAGAAAAAUUGAUUGAUUCUCAGUGCCGGGCCACAAUUGGCAGAGUCUCAAAUCCUGGCCAUAAUACUCGCACGCUUAGGAAGGUUGGCCAGAGCAGAUGGUUAGGUCGAAGACCAGUUGUUCGUGGAGUAGCUAUGAACCCAGUUGAUCAUCCUCACGGUGGAGGUGAGGGUCGGAGCAAAAGUAGUGGGUCCUUUGGAAGGGUGUCACAAACACCAUGGGGCAAGCCAACUAAAUGUGGCAGGAAUCAAGAACGCAAGCGCAAUGGCAAAUUUAAAUGAUCUAUUUCUGUGGUUCCUCGUUUUGGACCGAGUAUAUAGCAGGCAGCUGUGACUUCAGGUCGAGAAAGUGUUUAGCUUUAUUUCAUUACAUGAGGGCUUAGCAUGUAGUCAUAUUUGGUGAUGCAGUGUUUUUCUUUCAUAGCUGGGAGAUUUGCAGAGGCUCACCUGGACAAAUAAACCAGGAUUGUUUCUUAACAGAUCCCGGUGCAAGUGCUGAUCUUGCUGUGAUGCAAGAAGGACUUGCACACAUCUUACUUGUCGGUAAAAGGCUUUCCUAAAGUAUAUUGAUUUCAGUGUCAUUCGUUGUGCGGUGAUUGCAAGCCCUGGUUUCACUAAGGUUGGUGGCUUGGGAGAUGUUGUGACCGGUCUUGGAAAAGCACUCAAAAAGAGAGGACACCUUGUGGAAAUUAUUCUGCCAAAAUAUGACUGCAUGCAAUAUGAUGGUCUUCCUGUUUACUUUAUUGAGCCUCAACACCCUGACAAGUUCUUUUGGAGAGGGCAGUUUUACGGAGAACAUGAUGAUUUCUAUCAUUUUUCAUUUUUCAGCCGUGCUGCACUUGAAUUGCUUCUUCAAGCUGGCAAAAAACCAGACAUAAUUCAUUGCCAUGACUAAUUUAAAAUUUGCUUCUAUAUGAAUGGGUCAUUUGAUUCUCUGUUUGGAGUUUUCUUGAAUAUUUGUUAUUUUCUUUGUGAAUGUGCAUCCAAUCCUAGAAGUCUUUCAUAUUUUAUUGAAUACGUGGGCUGCAUAACAAGAAUGGUGCCACAGAAAGGUGUACACCUUAUUAGACAUGCAAUAUACCGUACCCUAGAGUUGGGAGGACAAUUUCUACUACUUGGCUCAAGCCCAGUUGCACAUGUAUUUCUCUUUAUGCUACUGAAAAAUAUGCAAUGCUUUGUAUUUUGCAUAUAAUGUUGUCUACAAGAUUUUGAGAACAAACACACACAAGCGCGCACGCGAACAUAUGCAUUUGGAGAAUGCAUUCCCAUGGUUGCUUCCUCCUAAAGCAUCCAAACACUAUUUCAAGGUGCUUUUAGAUGCUUAACUGGAAAACAGAAAAAACAUCUCAAUUGACUGCCUUACUUGGAGAAUCUAAGAUAGUAUUUUGCAAAAAGAAUAAAAAGUCUUGAUCACUAUGCGUAAUGGAAGUAACAUGCUUGCUAUGUGGACAAACAAAUACAUAUGCAGAUAGUUGAAUUUAUGAAAUCUACAUGUGAUUUUGUUAAUGCACACCUUUGGACAUGAGCACUGGUUUUCAUUUACUAAACUAUUCUUUUCCUACUCCUCUGUCAGUUCCAAGCUUACUCCUCUCGACAGAUACUUUUAGUUUACUUGUUCAUUUCUUUUGUAGAGGGAAUUUGAGGUAUCGCAAAUCACUUUCAGAAUCAUGAGCACAUUCGGCUGAUAUUGAAGAUGAUUAACCUCUUUCUCAUUCCAUUUAUGCAGCAUCUGACAUGUUCUGUCAUCCCAUCUAUCUUUGAGCCUUGUGGCCUUACACAGUGUGAGUAGACUGGGAUACCCAACUAUAACUGGUGGUCUGAGGCUUGGUCUCUUAUGUGGGUCGUGGUACAAAUUUCUCCAAUGUCCUACCUGCAGCUACAAGGCUUUCGUCAGGUCAUUUUAACUGCUGCUUCCUUCAACGUUUCCCUUUUCCAAGCCAUUGGAAAGUUUCUACUGAAGGCAGGGCCAUGCAGAACGUAGGAUUGACAGGCUUGACGUUUUGGUCGCCAAAUGUUAACAUUUUUUGUGAUCCCAGAUGGGGAAGAGGCCAAGAGGCCCCUGGUCAAUGGUAAGCCAACAUGUGCUGAUCCAAAUCUUCUUUAUGGGGUCAUUCGAGGCGAAUGGAAAUUGAAUGGAUACAUAGUUUCUGACUGUGAUUCAGUAUAUGAGUUCUUCAAUGGACAACACUAUACCAAAACACCAGAAGAAGCUGCAGCUACAGCAAUAUUGGCAGGUCUGGAUCUCAAUUGCUGGUGAUUCUUAGGCCAGCACACUGAAGUCUUGGUCCCACUAUGAUGAGUCAAAUAUUGACAAGGCUGUCUCAAAUAAUUUUGCUACUAUGAUGAGACUUGGUUUUUUUUAUGGUGAUCCUACCAAGCAAAUCUAUGGAAAUCUUGGUCCAAAACAUGGUAUCCACUAUCAUAAGUACCAAUGACAAACAUGAACAUGAGAGCAGAUCCUUUGACGGGCUAUCCAGGUAGAACCUACAGAUUUCAUACUAGAGAAACUGUUUAUUCAUCCAAGAGCUCCAAGCAUAGUCCAUCUGCAGUGAAUCACUUCAGGCUCACGGUUUUUUACAAAAGUUUCUGAGUCAGCACAGAGACCAACAGUAUCCCAUUCAUAGUCACCUGGGAACUCACUAGUCAAGUAAGACGGAAGCUCACUGGAGAAUGGACAUGGCCAUUGCCCAUGAGCUUAGGGGCAAAGGAGAAGAGCUUCACCGCCUUGCUAUUGGAAGUGGUGGGUAGAAAAGAGAAGGGGUCCAAUGGGUAUUAAUAGAUAAUUGGGGAUGGAUUUCCUUAUCUCAGUGAAAUCUACAUUCAGGAUUCCAUAAGAGCGGUAUUUAAAUCUGUCACUUCAUUGGAAGGUGUAGAUUUUAUUUGUUUGUUCUUUUUAUCCUAUGAUAUUCUUUGGACCGCUAAAUUCUUAUAUUUAUUUAUUGUUCAAUAACGAAUAUCGACGUUCCAUAUUUGAUUGAUC